GACGAACGCUGGCGGCGUGCUUAACACAUGCAAGUCGAACGGAAAGGCCCUGCUUUUGUGGGGUGCUCGAGUGGCGAACGGGUGAGUAACACGUGAGUAACCUGCCCUUGACUUUGGGAUAACUUCAGGAAACUGGGGCUAAUACCGGAUAGGAGCUCCUGCUGCAUGGUGGGGGUUGGAAAGUUUCGGCGGUUGGGGAUGGACUCGCGGCUUAUCAGCUUGUUGGUGGGGUAGUGGCUUACCAAGGCUUUGACGGGUAGCCGGCCUGAGAGGGUGACCGGCCACAGUGGGACUGGGAUACGGCCCAGACGCAUACGGGAGGCAGCAGUGGGGAAUAGUGCACAAUGGGCGGAAGCCUGAUGCAGCAACGCCGCGUGCGGGAUGACGGCCUUCGGGUUGUAAACCGCUUUCGCCUGUGACGAAGCGUGAGGGACGGUAAUGGGUAAAGAAGCACCGGCUAACUACGU
rnacentral:rRNA from 1 species